rnacentral:rRNA from 1 species
UACGUAGGGGGCAAGCGUUGCCCGGAUUUAUUGGGCGUAAAGAGCGUGUAGGCGGCUUGGUAGGUCUUGCGUCAAAACCUGAGGCUCAACCUCAGUUCGCGUGGGAAACCACCUAGCUAGAGUCCGGAAGAGGAGAACGGAAUUCCCAGUGUAGCGGUGAAAUGCGCAGAUAUUGGGAAGAACACCAGUGGCGAAGGCGGUUCUCUGGGACGGUACUGACGCUGAGACGCGAAAGCGUGGGGAGCGAACAGG